GGUUAAGCGACUAAGCGUACACGGUGGAUGCCCUGGCAGUCAGAGGCGAUGAAGGACGUGCUAAUCUGCGAUAAGCGUCGGUAAGGUGAUAUGAACCGUUAUAACCGGCGAUUUCCGAAUGGGGAAACCCAGUGUGAUUCGUCACACUAUCAUUAACUGAAUCCAUAGGUUAAUGAGGCGAACCGGGGGAACUGAAACAUCUAAGUACCCCGAGGAAAAGAAAUCAACCGAGAUUCCCCCAGUAGCGGCGAGCGAACGGGGAGCAGCCCAGAGCCUGAAUCAGUGUGUGUGUUAGUGGAAGCGUCUGGAAAGGCGUGCGAUACAGGGUGACAGCCCCGUACACAAAAAUGCACAUACUGUGAGCUCGAUGAGUA
rnacentral:rRNA from 1 species